GAGAAGAAGAAAAAAAGCUAUUAAUUACGAAAUCGUGAUAUUGUCACAGCUCCUCUCCUGCACUUCUCUUUCAAAUCCCAAUUCUUCCCUCUUCCACAACGCCACUCCUUCCAACUUCCCUUCAAUUAUCCAUUAUUUCCCUCCAUUCUCCGAACCUCUCUGGAUCUUACUGAUCUCCAAGCUUCUCUUGUCUUUCAUUACUUGUUCGCUGCUGAUCCUGGUAUUGUGUAAGACUACAUUUUUGUUUCACUUCAACAUGCUUAUCUCUAGCGUCCCAAAAAAACCUGGCUGAUGGAUGGUUAUUCAUCUCUUUGGACAUACGUACUAACGAUCCCCAGAUACUUAUUUAGCAGCUUCAGCUAACCUGUGUGAGGGUGCAAGAAACUCGGUUGGUUGGUGGAAGACAAUAGCCUUGCCCACAUCCUGUCAGUAAUCACUACUUUGUUUUGUCUCUCAGUUAUCCGCUGCAAAUGUAGGAGCAACAUAAGAUUGGUCUAUUUUCAGGUCAGGGAGAUAAUCAGUCAAAUGAGGGACAUCUUCAAGAACAUAAUGAAAGUCACCACCAGUCAAGGAAUCUCCGGGAGCACCUCUACUAUUCCCACCAUUAUGGUCCAUCGGAGAUGAUCCGCGGUUCCAAAAGGGGAGGUGAUCGGAGGCAGGUGCCGAGAAGUGGAUGGAAGUGGAAGAAGAAGAGAAGCUAGAAAAGGAAGAAUCCAUGGGAAUUGAAGAAGGUCAAAGAAGAAGGAAGAAGAGAAGGCAUAUUUGUAGACUGAUCGACAGGAACGUCAGAUGGUGGUGACUUUUAUGAAGAAGAACGUCAUGGUGGUGACUUGUUGAAAUGAAAAAUAGUUAGAAAAGGCAGAGUAGUGGUGGCUUCUAGAGGAUUGGUGAGGAAGCCAUGAAAAAAAAGUAGAAAAGUCCGAAAGAAAGAAAAGGAAUAUUCUUGAAUCUCCCAUGGUUCUCAUAUUCGUGCAGCUUGUGAUUUUGCUACCUAGACCUACAGUUUCACGGAUUAUGGGGGAACCUCUAUGGGCUAAUUUGUCAAAUAUUUUAGAAGGAAACUUCAAUUCAAACUUGAAUUAAGCACAAGGAGAAAGAGAAAGAAGGGUUGACUUUACAACCGAUUUGACAAA